rnacentral:piRNA from 1 species
UCGAAACAUUACAUAUUGACCUGCCAGA